UACGUAGGGGGCUAGCGUUGUCCGGAUUUAUUGGGCGUAAAGAGCUCGUAGGCGGUUUGUCGCGUCUGCCGUGAAAGUCCGGGGCUCAACUCCGGAUCUGCGGUGGGUACGGGCAGACUAGAGUGAUGUAGGGGAGACUGGAAUUCCUGGUGUAGCGGUGAAAUGACGCAGAUAUCAGGAGGAACACCGAUGGCGAAGGCAGGUCUCUGGGCAUUAACUGACGCUGAGGAGCGAAAGCAUGGGGAGCGAACAGG
rnacentral:rRNA from 1 species